rnacentral:tRNA from 1 species
CGGGCUAUAGCGCAGUUUGGUAGCGCGCCUGCUUUGGGAGCAGGAUGUUCCCAAAGCGUUGCGCUU